rnacentral:rRNA from 1 species
UCAAGUAAAGAAGGGCGCACGGUGAAUGCCUAGGCACAAUGAGGCGAAGAAGGACGUGACGAACCACGAAAGGCUUCGGGGAGCGGUAAGUACGCAGCGAUCCGGAGACAUCCGAAUGGGGGAACCCAAUGCAUGCAGAUGCAUUACCAGGCGGUGAACAAAUAGCCGUAUGGGGCAAGACGCAGCGAACUGAAACAUCUAAGUAGCUGCAGGAAGAGAAAGAAAAAUCGAUUUCCUUAGUAGCGGCGAGCGAAGAGGAAAGAGCCCAAACCAGAUGAUUUAUCAUUUGGGGUUGUAGGACUGCAAUAAGGCAGCGCAAAGGAUAGCAGAAUUAUCUGGGAAGGUAAGCCAGAGAGGGUGAGAGCCCCGUAAGCGAAAUCCGGAGCGCGCCGAGCAGGAUCCUGAGUAGGUCGGGACACGAGGAAUCCCGAUUGAAGCAGCGAGGACCAUCUCGCAAGGCUAAAUACUACAUUGUGACCGAUAGUGAACCAGUACCGUGAGGGAAAGGUGAAAAGAACCCCGGGAGGGGAGUGAAAGAGAACCUGAAACCGUGUGCCUACAAAUAGUCAAAGCCCAUUAAAGGGUGAUGGCGUGCCUUUUGUAGAAUGAACCGGCGAGUUACGUUAGCUAGCGAGGUUAAGUCAGAAAAGACGGAGCCGGAGCGAAAGCGAGUCUGAAGAGGGCGGAGCAGUUAGCUGACGUAGACCCGAAACCAAGUGACCUACCCAUGACCAGGUUGAAGGUGCGGUAAAGCGCACUGGAGGACCGAACCCACGUAAGUUAAAAAUUGCGGGGAUGAGUUGCGGGUAGCGGUGAAAUUCCAAACGAACUUGGAGAUAGCUGGUUCUCUCCGAAAUAGCUUUAGGGCUAGCCUGGUGCCAGGACGAUCAUGGAGGUAGAGCACUGUUUGGACGAAGGGCCCGUCAGGGGUUACUGAAUUCAGAUAAACUGCGAAUUCCAGAGAUCGGGGCACUGGAGUCAGACUGCGAGUGAUAAGAUCCGUAG